AGCAACCUUAGCAAAAUCACCACCUAGACCACCAAGGCCACCUCCUUCAGAUUUGGCAGGAGCAUCAUCAUUACCAUUGGGGUGAUCUGGUUUGGAAGGUGCAGCAGCAGCAGCAGCAGGAGAAGGAGAAGGAGAAGGAGCAGGAGAGUUGGUGGACUGAUACUGAUGGAGAUAAUCAGAAGCCUUAUCAACAUACUGUCCAACACCCUUCUGAUCAUCAAGUUUAGCAUACUGACCAACUGCUUCUAGAAGAUCCCCUGCAGCAUCUGCAACUUUGGCUUUAUC
rnacentral:lncRNA from 1 species